GUUUUAACAUAGUAGGAUAAACAAAUAAUAGACAAGCUAGAGUAUAUAGCAAAUUUAUUUAUAAUGAAACUUUAACAUAGUGACAUCUGUAGGAUACGUGUAACAGGCUCACUGGAGUGUGUGGCGAACAAUGCUGUGGUGAAGUUUUAACAUAGUGACACACGUAGGACAGGUGUGAGCCAAAAGAAAAUCAUCGCACUCAAACUAAAAAAAAAACAAAGCUGACUGAAUUAAGAAAAAAAUCCACUAAGACGAACACUUGGCAGGAAUGAUCAUGGAGGGAAAACACGCAGCAGGCUGAGAGUGAACACUGGCACCAGAAAUAUGAAGCAAAAAAACUGAAAAAGUAAAGCAAAAAACUAAAAUAAGAAAAGAAAUUGUUGAAACAACAAAACUCGCUUAGAAAUAUAAUCCAUGUUCACUCCUUUCCUCCUCCUCCCCCUUCUCUUCCUCUUCCCCGUAUCCUCCUCCUCUUCCUCCUCCUCCUCCUCUUCCUCCUCCUCCUCCUCUUCCUCCUCCUCCGCGCCAUCACCAUAAACAACAAACAAAUAAACAACAAAACAAUAAAAUAUAAAUUAGUGAUUGGAGCCAUUUGGAAACUUUAUGGUCCAGGAAAAUGUACUUGUGUGUGUGUGUGUGUGUGUGUGUGUGUGUGUGUGUGUGGCACGGUGCUGCCCCCUGGUUGUCUGGAGGGCACGGUGUUGCCCCCUGCUUGUCUGCAGGGCACGGUGCUGCCCCCUGGUUGUCUGGAGGGCACGGUGCUGCCCCCUGCUUGUCUGGAGGGCACGGUGCUGCCCCCUGCUUGUCUGGAGGGCACGGUGCUGCCCCCUGGUUGUCUGGAGGGCACGGUGCUGCCCCCUGGUUGUCUGGAGGGCACGGUGCUGCCCCCUGGUUGUCUGGAGGGCACGGUGCUGCCCCCUGCUUGUCUGGAGGGCACGGUGCUGCCCCAUGCUCGUCUGGAGGGCACGGUGCUGCCCCCUGCUUGGCUGGAGGGCACUGUGCUGCCGCCUGGUUGCCCUCAUCCUGCAGUGCUUACCCCUGCGUGGCGUGCUGGCCUGGGUGCAGCAGCGGCCGUGGCCUCGUGCGUCGGGAGCAGGGUCUCACGCACGACCUCAGCCCUCUGUAAUUCCUGAGGGUGUGCCCAUGGGUGCUCGCCUCAGUGUGAGGUAAGCAUCAUCAUCGGAGUCUAAGUUUUCGGCCUCGUGGGUGGGUCGGUGCCCUGAGGGUGUGCCCGGGGGGCCUCGCCUCGGUGUGAGGUAAGCAUCAUCAUCGGAGUCUAAGUUUUCGGCCUUGUCGCUGGGUGGAUGCUCGGAGAUAUUCUCGUAGAUUGGAGGCUCGGAGACAUUCUCGUAGAUUGGAGGCCCGGGGAUCUCCUCGUAGAUUGGAGGCUCGGGGAUCUGCUGGCAGAUUAGAGGGUCGGGGAACUCGUCGUAGAUGUGCUCCUCGUCGUCGUCGAAGAUGUGCUCCUGCUACCGCGGCGCCACGCGCGGGAGCACGGUGGGGCCCGUGGGCGGCUACACGUGGCUGUCGCUGACCGCUUCCUCGCCACCGACGCGCCAGGAGGCGGCCAGUCCACGCCGCGUCGGCACGCGGGGCACUGCGGGAAGAAUGUGACCAUUACCACGAUGACGACGACGACCGUCACGAAGGGGGAGAGAGAGAGAGAGAGAGAGAGAGAGAGAGAGAGAGAGAGAGAGAGAGAGAGAGAGAGAGAGAGAGAGAGAGAGAGAGAGAGAGAGAGAGAGAGAGA